AAAGUUUGAUCCUGGCUCAGGGUGAACGCUGGCGGCGUGCUUAACAYAUGCAAGUCGAACGAUGAAGUCCUUCGGGAUGGAUUAGUGGCGCACGGGUGAGUAAUAUAUAGUUAAUGUACCUUCAAGACUGGGAUAGCCACUGGAAACGGUGAUUAAUACUAGAUAUACCUCUCUAACAUAAGUUAGAGUGGGAAAUGUUUUUUCGCUUGAAGAUCAGACUAUAUCCCAUCAGUUUGUUGGUGAGGUAAUGGCUCACCAAGGCAAUGACGGGUAGCGGGUUUGAGAGGAUGAUCCGCCACACUGGUACUGAGACACGGACCAGACUCCUACGGGAGGCAGCAGUGAGGAAUAUUGCACAAUGGGGGAAACCCUGAUGCAGCAACGCCGCGUGGAGGAUGACGCAUUUCGGUGUGUAAACUCCUUUUAUGAGUCAAGAAAAUGACGGUAGCUCAUGAAUAAGCACCGGCUAACUCCGUGCCAGCAGCCGCGGUAAUACGGAGGGUGCAAGCGUUACUCGGAAUCACUGGGCGUAAAGGACGCGUAGGCGGGUUGGUAAGUCAGAUGUGAAAUCCUACAGCUCAACUGUAGAACUGCAUUUGAAACUACUGACCUAGAGUAUGGGAGGGGGAGAUGGAAUUAGUGGKKKARRGGGKUWAAAUCCCGUARAUWUCACUAGGAAUACCAARAGCGAAGGCGAUCUCCUGGAACAUUACUGACGCUAAGGCGUGAAAGCGUGGGGAGCAAACAGGAUUAGAUACCCUGGUAGUCCACGCCCUAAACGAUGAACACUAGUCGUCGGAAAGCUUGUCUUUUCGUGAUGCACUUAACAGAUUAAGUGUUCCGCCUGGGGAGUACGGUCGCAGAUUAAACUCAAAGGAAUAGACGGGACCCGYACAAGUGGUGCAGCAUGUGUUUACUUCGAGAUACGCGAAAACGUUACUGCUUGACAUGAUAGACUGCUARARAUAGCGGGUGCAGUUUACUGAGCUGAAACAGUGCUGCMUGCUGUCGUCMGUCAKUUCUKGAAAUGUUGGUCAGUCCCAACUGGCAAUCAYGUUCUAAUGCGAACAGUAGCUGACCUUAGGGAACGUCCUUCUUAGAGAGGAAAUGCUUAGGAGSACCUAAGCYCUUUG
rnacentral:rRNA from 1 species